UGAGUAACACGUAUCCAACCUGCCGUCUACUCUUGGACAGCCUUCUGAAAGGAAGAUUAAUACAAGAUGGCAUCAUGAGUCCACAUGUUCACAUGAUUAAAGGUAUUCCGGUAGACGAUGGGGAUGCGUUCCAUUAGAUAGUAGGCGGGGUAACGGCCCACCUAGUCUUCGAUGGAUAGGGGUUCUGAGAGGAAGGCCCCCCACAUUGGAACUGAGACACGGUCCAA
rnacentral:rRNA from 1 species